GAUGAACGCUAGCAGCAGGCCUAAUACAUGCAAGUCGAGGGGUAGAAGAGGCUUGCUUCUUUGAGACCGGCGCACGGGUGCGUAACGCGUAUGCAACCUACCUUCAUCUGGGGGAUAGCCCGGAGAAAUCCGGAUUAAUACCGCAUAAAAUCACAGGAUGGCAUUAUCCAAUGAUCAAACAUUUAUGGGAUGGAGAUGGGCAUGCGUGUUAUUAGCUAGUUGGCGGGGUAACGGCCCACCAAGGCGACGAUGACUAGGGGAUCUGAGAGGAUGGCCCCCCACACUGGGACUGAGACACGGACCAGACUCCUACGGGAGGCAGCAGUAAGGAAUAUUGGUCAAUGGAGGCAACUCUGAACCAGCCAUGCCGCGUGCAGGAAGACUGCCCUAUGGGUUGUAAACUGCUUUUAUUCGGGAAUAAACCUUAUUACGUGUAAUAAGCUGAAUGUACCGAAGGAAUAAGGAUCGGCUAACUCCGUGCCAGCCGCCGCCGUAA
rnacentral:rRNA from 1 species